GACGAACGCUGGCGGCGUGCCUAAUACAUGCAAGUCGAGCGAGCUUGCCUAGAUGAUUUUAGUGCUUGCACUAAAUGAAACUAGAUACAAGCGAGCGGCGGACGGGUGAGUAACACGUGGGUAACCUGCCCAAGAGACUGGGAUAACACCUGGAAACAGAUGCUAAUACCGGAUAACAACACUAGACGCAUGUCUAGAGUUUGAAAGAUGGUUCUGCUAUCACUCUUGGAUGGACCUGCGGUGCAUUAGCUAGUUGGUAAGGUAGUGGCUUACCAAGGCGAUGAUAGGUAGCCGGCCUGAGAGGGUGGACGGCCACAAGGGGACUGAGACACGGCCCAA
rnacentral:rRNA from 1 species